rnacentral:rRNA from 1 species
GGCGAACGCUGGCGGCGUGCUUAACACAUGCCAGUCGAACGGAAAGGCCCUGCUUUUGUGGGGUGCUCGAGUGGCGAACGGGUGAGUAACACGUGAGUAACCUGCCCUUGACUUUGGGAUAACUUCAGGAAACUGGGGCUAAUACCGGAUAGGAGCUCCUGCUGCAUGGUGGGGGUUGGAAAGUUUCGGCGGUUGGGGAUGGACUCGCGGCUUAUCAGCUUGUUGGUGGGGUAGUGGCUUACCAAGGCUUUGACGGGUAGCCGGCCUGAGAGGGUGACCGGCCACAUUGGGACUGAGAUACGGCCCAGACUCCUACGGGAGGCAGCAGUGGGGAAUAUUGCACAAUGGGCGGAAGCCUGAUGCAGCAACGCCGCGUGCGGGAUGACGGCCUUCGGGUUGUAAACCGCUUUCGCCUGUGACGAAGCGUGAGUGACGGUAAUGGGUAAAGAAGCACCGGCUAACUACGUG